CGUGUGAGAGGCAUAGGAGCAAAUGUCACUCCAUCAUCCUUCUUCAAGGUUGCUAGAGGGAAGGUGCAAAUUGAAGGAAUUCGAAGUGAUACUACACCGGUUGCAUAUAUUACAUCUAAAAGAUGUGAUUCGAAGGAAUUCAUUGGGGCUCGAUGUAGAGUUAUAUUGAUUAUCUCUUUUUGGGUGAUUACGUUGAUCGUGGCCAACAUAGCCUGAAAACUAUUACUCUUCUCCUUGCAUUGAAGGUAUUACUUUCCCCUCAAGCUUGUCAAUGUGAUCAGUCUUAUCCAAGCAAAUAUUUUUAUGAAAAUAUUUAGCAUCAAAGAAUUCUUGAAGAUUGAAUAUCCACAUAAUAUACAUUUAAUUCGUGGAAACCAUGAGGCAACAGACAUUAAUGCUUUAUUUGGGUUUCGUACCGAGUGCAUCGAGAGAAUGGGAGAACAAGACAGAAUCUGGGCAUGGCG